rnacentral:rRNA from 1 species
CCUACGGUGGGCAGCAGUGAGGAAUAUUGGUCAAUGGUCGGGAGACUGAACCAGCCAAGCCGCGUGAGGGAUGAAGGUACAGAGUAUCGUAAACCUCUUUUGUCAGGGAACAAAGGCGGGGACGCGUCCCCGGAUGAGUGUACCCGAAGAAAAAGCAUCGGCUAACUCCGUGCCAGCAGCCGCGGUAAUACGGAGGAUGCGAGCGUUAUCCGGAUUUAUUGGGUUUAAAGGGUGCGCAGGCGGUCUGUUAAGUCAGCGGUGAAAGCCCGGGGCUCAACCCCGGCCCGCCGUUGAAACUGGCAGUCUCGAGUGGGAGGGAGGUAUGCGGAAUGCGCGGUGUAGCGGUGAAAUGCAUAGAUAUCGCGCAGAACUCCGAUUGCGAAGGCAGCAUGCCGGGUCCACACUGACGCUGAGGCACGAAAGCGUGGGGAUCGAACAGGAUUAGAUACCCCUGUAGUC